AGCAGCAGCCACGGGAAAACAGAGGGUGCGAGCGUUAAUCGGAUUUACUGGGCGUAAAGCGUGCGUAGGCGGCUUUUUAAGUCGGAUGUGAAAUCCCCGGGCUCAACCUGGGAACUGCAUUUGUGACUGUAUAGCUAGAGUACGGCAGAGGGGGAUGGAAUUCCGCGUGUAGCAGUGAAAUGCGUAGAUAUGCGGAGGAACACCGAUGGCGAAGGCAAUCCCCUGGGCCUGUACUGACGCUCAUGCACGAAAGCGUGGGGAGCAAACAGGAUUAGAUACCCGCGUAGUCCCUGUCUCUUAUAC
rnacentral:rRNA from 1 species